UUCCGUAGCUUCGACAAUUAAUCUUCUUCCUUUUUUUUCUUUUUUCUUUUUUCAAAAAUACUCGACGCGCACUACUUAUCAAAAUUUCUUUGAAAAUUCAUAAACCAGAGUCCCCGCCAUUGAUCCACCUCCAUUAAUUCUCUACGCCCUUCAUUUUACGCGCCGGAAUAUUUCUUCCACCAUUCGCCCGUGAGUUACACUUUCUACACUAACGCGUAAACUUCCCACCGCCCCUUUCGAUACCGUCCUUACGCGUCAUAUAAUACGCUGCGGGCCACGAUCAUCGUUUCAGCCGUACACCUGUAACCUCACGACGUCGUGAAGGCGGUGAAUUUUAGACACCGGCUGCUGUUUUUCCCCCCUUUCUCAACAACGACGGAGCCAGAUCUGGCCGGAAGUUCGGUUUCUCCGACCUACAAACCCUAACGUCUUUUUUCUUCUUUUAUGCUCUGUUAGUGGAUCUUUUGUGAACCCUUGAAAUCGGUUUGUUUGAUUUAUAUAUAAAUUUUGUUUCGUUUAAUUUGUUGAACGGCGUCGGCGUCGGCGUUUAAUUUCUUGGAGAUUUGAGUUUCUUGCGGUGUUUUGUUUCGGUCUGUUUUGUUUCGUUCUUCUUCUUAUUAUUUGUUUGGGUGAAGAGAAACCCUAGGUACGGAUAAUUCGACUUUUUUUAGGGUAGAUAGAGGGUUUUAGGGUUUUGGGUGUUUUGAUUGUUUGUAUGGCUUCAGCGCCUAUAGCUGGAGGAGAAGAUGAAGGUAGAAUUAAGCAGACGUGCUCAGAGUAUAAGGUUUACAGAAGGAAAACGUUCAGAGGUGUGAAGAACCAGAAUACACCCAGUGUUACCCCCAGCAUCACUGUGUCUACCACCACCACCGCCGACAAGGAUCCGAACAUCAGGAAUGAGAAUGCCACCACCGCCACAUUCAACAACGUUAAAGACUUCAAUAACAAUUCAGACCAGGCAGUGCCGCGUUCAUCAGAAGCGUCAGAAGAUGCAAAUCUAUCUCAGCAGCAGCCUUUACUGGACGCUGCUUCUGAAGGUGACGAUCUGACGAGGCUUGAUGGACAGAUAUCUGUUGGGCCGGCGGUGGAGGCUAAUCAGGACCUGCCUUCUGUUAAUGGUGGUGUUGUUAAGUCGGGUUUCGAUGAUCAGCAUCGGGUGGAUAGUGCAUCAAAGCCUAAGCAGGAAAUGCAAGAGCUUCGGCGGAAAUUCGAGAGCGAGCUUCAGAUUGUGAGAAAUUUGGUUAAGAGGAUUGAAGCCAUACAAGGGCAGUUAAAUAGCGGGCAUACCCAUUCUCACGUUUCAACAAUGGAAAUCUCUGAUAAUGGUCGUGGAGCGUAUCCUGUACAUUCAGAAGUCGGUUCUGUUGGUGUUCCUACAGAAAAUUCCAGGGCACUGCGUCAGUUAAGCUUAUCGGUUCUGGAGAAUGGUAAAGGGGUCCAUGAUUUCAUGGAAAGGGAGAAGAGGACACCAAAAGCGAACCAGUUCUAUAGAAAUUCUGAAUUCUUACUUGCAAAGGAUAGGAUUCCUCCUGCUGACAGCAAUAAGAAGACGAAAUUGAAUGGCAAAAAGCGUAGUAGGCAAAAAUUUAAUCACGGUUUUGGCAUGGGUACUAAGACCUUCAAUGCUUCUGUUUCUCUACUUGAGAAACUGAUGAAGCACAAGCAUGGAUGGGUGUUUAAUACUCCAGUCGACGUAGAGGGGCUUUGUUUGCACGAUUAUUAUAGCAUUAUCAGACAUCCAAUGGACCUGGGUACUGUGAAAACGAGGCUAAACAAAAACUGGUACAAGUCUCCAAAAGAAUUUGCAGAGGACGUGAGACUUACCUUUCAUAAUGCUAUGACUUAUAAUCCAAAAGGGCAAGAUGUUCACAUAAUGGCAGAACAGUUGCUGAAAAUCUUUGAGGACAGGUGGGUUGUAAUAGAAUCAAAUUAUUAUCAGGAGAUGAGGCUAGGAAUGAAAUAUGGAGCUACUCUUCCAUCUUCUAAUUCAGUUAGAGGUCAUCCCAGACCAGUUCCUCUUGACAUGAGAAAGAUUCUACGAAGGUCAGAGUCGUCGAUAAACCCAGCUGAUUCCAGGACACAACCGAUGAGUGUGACUCCAUCAGCACGGACACCUUCACUGAAGAAACCCAAGGCAAAAGAUGUCUUCAAAAGGGACAUGACUUACAAUGAAAAGAAAAAACUCAGUACGAACCUUCAGAAUUUGCCCUCUGAGAAGCUAGAUGCUAUUCUACAGAUAAUAAAAAAGAGAAACUUUGAACUUCUCCAACAAGAUGAUGAAAUAGAAGUAGACAUAGAUAGGGUUGACACUGAGACUCUGUGGGAGCUUGAUAGACUUGUUACGAAUUACAGGAAGAGUUUGAGCAAGAAUAAGAGGAAGGCUGAACUUGCCAUUUUGAAGGCUCAAGCAGAAGCUGAGCGUAAUGACCAAGUGAAUUUACUCAGAGAAACACGAGCAGAUGAAAAUACUGUUUCCUCUUCAUCACCCACCCGAGGGGAUCAUUCAAGCAAAUCCAGCAGCUCUAGUAGCUCUAGCAGCGAUUCUGGAUCUUCUUCUAGUGAUUCUGAUAGCGACAGCUCCUCAGCAUCAGGAUCUGAUGCUUGAUCACCAAUGCAUAUAUUUUCUAUUCAGAAGGAACAGCUCAGCACAAGGGACAUAAGAAUAACCAACAAAAAAAGGGAAAACAUCCGACUCAAAAGAAAAAGACCCAGUAAAAAUGUACCAUAACAGCAUACUAAGUUAGUUACUAACCAGCCAAAACAAACCAAAAGCCAAAGACUCCCAACGUAAUACAGAAAUCAAGCAGUGAAGAGGCUAACCAAAGAACUGCUCCCAAAUAGCCAGGAGCAGUUUGGUCGUCAGGCAUUGUAGGAGCAUAAGAGAUGCUGAUUUGAGCUAAAUAAUUUGACAAGUCCAUAUCAUCAAAGUGGAAGGGGUGAAAGUUAUUUGAUCUUCCUCUAGAAAACCCCUGGGCAGUACCUCCUUUAUCAAGAAAAGGUUGAAUAACGCUUGCUCAAGAUAUUUGUGGAUUCUGUGAUUGGUGUACGAUGAAAAUGUUCCGGAGCAUGGAGUAGUUGUUUUGAAUGGCGAACUAUUUCACAAAGGUGGUGGGCGAUUAGACUGUAGAAGAUGUUGAGAGUCAGGUCUCUGUAAUUGUAAUAAUUUUUGUAAUAUAUUGGAUAGAAUUUUGAUUAGAAAUUAGACGGAUGUAGGUUUGUCGUACAGAAUAUGCAUAUUGGUUACUUCCAUCACUCAUGCAAUUCAACAGCAUUUGACCUACUUUUUCUCCUUUCCCAACAAUUCUGUAGUUUGCCUCGAGAGUUUCGAACCCUCAAUCUCUGUCAGUAUAUUUUAUUUGUAGCUUAGCCUUGCAGCAUAUGAUAAAUACAGAAAUUUGUUGAAAUUUCA